rnacentral:rRNA from 1 species
GACGAACGCUGGCGGCGUGCCUAAUACAUGCAAGUCGAACGCUUUUUCUUUCACCGGAGCUUGCUCCACCGAAAGAAAAAGAGUGGCGAACGGGUGAGUAACACGUGGGUAACCUGCCCAUCAGAAGGGGAUAACACUUGGAAACAGGUGCUAAUACCGUAUAACACUAUUUUCCGCAUGGAAGAAAGUUGAAAGGCGCUUUUGCGUCACUGAUGGAUGGACCCGCGGUGCAUUAGCUAGUUGGUGAGGUAACGGCUCACCAAGGCAACGAUGCAUAGCCGACCUGAGAGGGUGAUCGGCCACACUGGGACUGAGACACGGCCCAGACUCCUACGGGAGGUAGCAGUAGGGAAUCUUCGGCAAUGGACGAAAGUCUGACCGAGCAACGCCGCGUGAGUGAAGAAGGUUUUCGGAUCGUAAAACUCUGUUGUUAGAGAAGAACAAGGAUGAGAGUAGAACGUUCAUCCCUUGACGGUAUCUAACCAGAAAGCCACGACUAACUACGUGCCAGCCGCCGCCGUAA